rnacentral:rRNA from 1 species
ACACUAUCAUUAACUGAAUCCAUAGGUUAAUGAGGCGAACCGGGGGAACUGAAACAUCUAAGUACCCCGAGGAAAAGAAAUCAACCGAGAUUCCCCCAGUAGCGGCGAGCGAACGGGGAGGAGCCCAGAGCCUGAAUCAGUGUGUGUGUUAGUGGAAGCGUCUGGAAAGGCGUGCGAUACAGGGUGACAGCCCCGUACACAAAAAUGCACAUAUUGUGAGCUCGAUGAGUAGGGCGGGACACGUGGUAUCCUGUCUGAAUAUGGGGGGACCAUCCUCCAAGGCUAAAUACUCCUGACUGACCGAUAGUGAACCAGUACCGUGAGGGAAAGGCGAAAAGAACCCCGGCGAGGGGAGUGAAAAAGAACCUGAAACCGUGUACGUACAAGCAGUGGGAGCCUCUUUAUGGGGUGACUGCGUACCUUUUGUAUAAUGGGUCAGCGACUUAUAUUCUGUAGCAAGGUUAACCGAAUAGGGGAGCCGAAGGGAAACCGAGUCUUAACUGGGCGUUAAGUUGCAGGGUAUAGACCCGAAACCCGGUGAUCUAGCCAUGGGCAGGUUGAAGGUUGGGUAACACUAACUGGAGGACCGAACCGACUAAUGUUGAAAAAUUAGCGGAUGACUUGUGGCUGGGGGUGAAAGGCCAAUCAAACCGGGAGAUAGCUGGUUCUCCCCGAAAGCUAUUUAGGUAGCGCCUCGUGAAUUCAUCUCCGGGGGUAGAGCACUGUUUCGGCAAGGGGGUCAUCCCGACUUACCAACCCGAUGCAAACUGCGAAUACCGGAGAAUGUUAUCACGGGAGACACACGGCGGGUGCUAACGUCCGUCGUGAAGAGGGAAACAACCCAGACCGCCAGCUAAGGUCCCAAAGUCAUGGUUAAGUGGGAAACGAUGUGGGAAGGCCCAGACAGCCAGGAUGUUGGCUUAGAAGCAGCCAUCAUUUAAAGAAAGCGUAAUAGCUCACUGGUCGAGUCGGCCUGCGCGGAAGAUGUAACGGGGCUAAACCAUGCACCGAAGCUGCGGCAGCGACACUAUGUGUUGUUGGGUAGGGGAGCGUUCUGUAAGCCUGUGAAGGUGGCCUGUGAGGGUUGCUGGAGGUAUCAGAAGUGCGAAUGCUGACAUAAGUAACGAUAAAGCGGGUGAAAAGCCCGCUCGCCGGAAGACCAAGGGUUCCUGUCCAACGUUAAUCGGGGCAGGGUGAGUCGACCCCUAAGGCGAGGCCGAAAGGCGUAGUCGAUGGGAAACAGGUUAAUAUUCCUGUACUUGGUGUUACUGCGAAGGGGGGACGGAGAAGGCUAUGUUGGCCGGGCGACGGUUGUCCCGGUUUAAGCGUGUAGGCUGGUUUUCCAGGCAAAUCCGGAAAACCAAGGCUGAGGCGUGAUGACGAGGCACUACGGUGCUGAAGCGACAAAUGCCCUGCUUCCAGGAAAAGCCUCUAAGCAUCAGGUAACAUCAAAUCGUACCCCAAACCGACACAGGUGGUCAGGUAGAGAAUACCAAGGCGCUUGAGAGAACUCGGGUGAAGGAACUAGGCAAAAUGGUGCCGUAACUUCGGGAGAAGGCACGCUGAUAUGUAGGUGAAGCGACUUGCUCGUGGAGCUGAAAUCAGUCGAAGAUACCAGCUGGCUGCAACUGUUUAUUAAAAACACAGCACUGUGCAAACACGAAAGUGGACGUAUACGGUGUGACGCCUGCCCGGUGCCGGAAGGUUAAUUGAUGGGGUUAGCGGUAACGCGAAGCUCUUGAUCGAAGCCCCGGUAAACGGCGGCCGUAACUAUAACGGUCCUAAGGUAGCGAAAUUCCUUGUCGGGUAAGUUCCGACCUGCACGAAUGGCGUAAUGAUGGCCAGGCUGUCUCCACCCGAGACUCAGUGAAAUUGAACUCGCUGUGAAGAUGCAGUGUACCCGCGGCAAGACGGAAAGACCCCGUGAACCUUUACUAUAGCUUGACACUGAACAUUGAGCCUUGAUGUGUAGGAUAGGUGGGAGGCUUUGAAGUGUGGACGCCAGUCUGCAUGGAGCCGACCUUGAAAUACCACCCUUUAAUGUUUGAUGUUCUAACGUUGGCCCGUAAUCCGGGUUGCGGACAGUGUCUGGUGGGUAGUUUGACUGGGGCGGUCUCCUCCUAAAGAGUAACGGAGGAGCACGAAGGUUGGCUAAUCCUGGUCGGACAUCAGGAGGUUAGUGCAAUGGCAUAAGCCAGCUUGACUGCGAGCGUGACGGCGCGAGCAGGUGCGAAAGCAGGUCAUAGUGAUCCGGUGGUUCUGAAUGGAAGGGCCAUCGCUCAACGGAUAAAAGGUACUCCGGGGAUAACAGGCUGAUACCGCCCAAGAGUUCAUAUCGACGGCGGUGUUUGGCACCUCGAUGUCGGCUCAUCACAUCCUGGGGCUGAAGUAGGUCCCAAGGGUAUGGCUGUUCGCCAUUUAAAGUGGUACGCGAGCUGGGUUUAGAACGUCGUGAGACAGUUCGGUCCCUAUCUGCCGUGGGCGCUGGAGAACUGAGGGGGGCUGCUCCUAGUACGAGAGGACCGGAGUGGACGCAUCACUGGUGUUCGGGUUGUCAUGCCAAUGGCACUGCCCGGUAGCUAAAUGCGGAAGAGAUAAGUGCUGAAAGCAUCUAAGCACGAAACUUGCCCCGAGAUGAGUUCUCCCUGACUCCUUGAGAGUCCUGAAGGAACGUUGAAGACGACGACGUUGAUAGGCCGGGUGUGUAAGCGCAGCGAUGCGUUGAGCUAACCGGUACUAAUGAACCGUGAGGCUUAACCUU